AUUGAACGCUGGCGGCAGGCUUAACACAUGCAAGUCGAACGGUAACAUAAAGAAGCUUGCUUCUCUGAUGACGAGUGGCGGACGGGUGAGUAAUGCUUGGGAAUCUAGCUUAUGGAGGGGGAUAACUACGGGAAACUGUAGCUAAUACCGCGUAGAAUCGGGAGAUGAAAGUGUGGGACCUUCGGGCCACAUGCCAUAGGAUGAGCCCAAGUGGGAUUAGGUAGUUGGUGAGGUAAAGGCUCACCAAGCCGACGAUCUCUAGCUGGUCUGAGAGGAUGACCAGCCACACUGGGACUGAGACACGGCCCAGACUCCUACGGGAGGCAGCAGUGGGGAAUAUUGCGCAAUGGGGGCAACCCUGACGCAGCCAUGCCGCGUGAAUGAAGAAGGCCUUCGGGUUGUAAAGUUCUUUCGGUAGCGAGGAAGGCAUUUAGUUUAAUAAACUGGAUGAUUGACGUUAACUACAGAAGAAGCACCGGCUAACUCCGUGCCAGCAGCCGCGGUAAUACGGAGGGUGCGAGCGUUAAUCGGAAUAACUGGGCGUAAAGGGCACGCAGGCGGUGACUUAAGUGAGGUGUGAAAGCCCCGGGCUUAACCUGGGAAUUGCAUUUCAUACUGGGUCGCUAGAGUACUUUAGGGAGGGGUAGAAUUCCACGUGUAGCGGUGAAAUGCGUAGAGAUGUGGAGGAAUACCGAAGGCGAAGGCAGCCCCUUGGGAAUGUACUGACGCUCAUGUGCGAAAGCGUGGGGAGCAAACAGG
rnacentral:rRNA from 1 species